rnacentral:lncRNA from 1 species
GCCCCUCAUUUAGAAAAGCUGUUUAAAAAACAAUGAAUAUUUUUCCCUUUUAAGUUAAAAAAAAUCUGAUGUUUUAAAGUAAAUGUUUAGUGUUUAUUCAUUAAAAUGUAGACUCUAAAAUAAGUUUGAGAGAAUAAUCAUAGACACAAUGGGACAAAAUCAUCUUAUUUAAGGGAGGGAGGGGUAGAAAAAAGAUAAAUUUUAAACGAAAAAUAUAUUUAUGUUACUUGGCGAUAAAAAAAAAAUAAAGUGGCGAAAAAUAUAUUGUUUUGGCGAAGGAGGUGGCGAAAAAAAAAAUUGACCCAGGGGAAACCCUGG